rnacentral:tRNA from 3 species
GGCUCUGUAGUGAAGUUCAUGGUGGGUUGCAAGCCCAUUGAUGUGCAUUAGCUGUGCACUGGAGUCU